rnacentral:rRNA from 1 species
AGGACGAACGCUGGCGGCGUGCUUAACACAUGCAAGUGGAGCGACGAACCGGGGCUUGCCCCGGGGCAGAGCCGCGAACGGGUGAGUAACACGUGGGUAACCUGCCUCAAUGAUUGGGACAACCCGGGGAAACUCGGGCUAAUACCAAAUGUGUUCACUCCUUCUAAGGGGAGUGAGGAAAGGAAGCUUCGGCCUCCGCAUUGAGAUGGGCCCGCGGCCCAUUAGCUUGUUGGUGAGGUAACGGCUCACCAAGGCUUCGAUGGGUAGCUGGUCUGAGAGGACGAUCAGCCACACUGGGACUGAGACACGGCCCAGACUCCUACGGGAGGCAGCAGUGGGGAAUCUUGCACAAUGCGCGAAAGCGUGAUGCAGCAACGCCGCGUGGGGAAGACGGCCUUCGGGUUGUAAACCCCUUUCAGUUGGGACGAAGCUUCGUCGGUGAAUAGCCGGUUGGAGUGACGGUACCUUCAGAAGAAGCCCCGGCUAACUACGUG